rnacentral:lncRNA from 1 species
GAUGUUGGAAAACUACUAGCUUGGAAAACUACUAGCUGGAUAGACAGGACCUGAGUAACAGAAAAUUAAAGGAGGAGAAGUUAAACAAUUAACAGCAUACAUAUAUAAGCCAGUAACAAUUUAUAUAUAGCCAGCAUGAAAAAAAUAUAUGUCACACACAUUGCAAGAAUAUCCUGCACAAAUUAAAAGGACAACUCGUAACAUGCCUUAGGGAGUGCGUGAAGAAUGUAUUGAGGAAGAUCUGGCACCCCCCCCUCCAUACUCUUUGUCUAACAAAGACUGAAGAAAAUCACCAUAUCAGUACGAAUGAGAAGGGUACUGAGACAUCUUGGAGACAACAGGACUGCUACUGACUGACACCAGAUAACGCACGAAUUAACAAAUCUUACGGAUCCUGUGUUUUCUGAGACUGGAUAAUUACUCAUAGUCCUACUCUGAAGAGAUUUAGAAGCUCUGAUUUAUUUCUCCUUGGCUGCUUCCAGGACGUACUCAAGGUAGUGCUGGAGAGUGAAC